rnacentral:rRNA from 1 species
UACGUAGGGGGCAAGCGUUGUCCGGAAUCAUUGGGCGUAAAGCGCGUGUAGGCGGCUCGGUAAGUCUGCUGUGAAAGUCCAGGGCUCAACCCUGGGAUGCCGGUGGAUACUGUCGAGCUCGAGUCCGGAAGAGGCGAGUGGAAUUCCUGGUGUAGCGGUGAAAUGCGCAGAUAUCGGGAGGAACACCAAUGGCGAAGGCAGCUCGCUGGGACGUUACUGACGCUGAGACGCGAAAGCGUGGGGAGCAAACAGG